rnacentral:rRNA from 1 species
CCGAUCUCGAAAACCUGUCCCAGUUCGGACUGGAGUCUGCAACCCGACUCCACGAAGUUGGAUCCGCUAGUAAUCGCGCAUCAGCCAUGGCGCGGUGAAUACGUUCCCGGGCCUUGUACACACCGCCCGUCAAGCCAUGGGAGCCGGGGGCGCCUGAAGUCCGGGACCGCGAGGACCGGCCUAGGGCGAAACUGGUGACUGGGGCUAAGUCGUAACAAGGUAGC